AUACAAGCAUGAAGGUCAAGGGAAAACCAAAGGUGUUCAUUUUUAAAGACCUAUUUUCUUUGUGCUCUUUUCCAGCUCUGCCCCACACACCCAGGACUCCAGGAAGGUAGCCACAUUCUCAGCUACAAAUUAUGUGUUCCGUACCUAGUAAGGAAAGGAAGAAAGCUCAGCAGAUUUUGUUGGUGAUGUGGAAACAGUUGCACCAUGUGGAGCUGUACCUGGAGCUGGGAGACUGGGCAGUGAACAAGACAGCCACAUUCCCUACCUUCAUAGAGCCUGCAGUCCAUUGAGGAAAAAAUGGCA